CCUACGGGUGGCAGCAGUGGGGGAUAUUGGACAAUGGGGGGAACCCUGAUGCAGCGACGCCGCGUGGGGGAAGAAGGGCCUCGGCGCGUAAAGCCCUGUCAGCAGGGAAGAAAAUGACGGUACCUGAAGAAGAAGCCCCGGCUAAAGACGUGCCAGCAGCCGCGGUAAUACGGAGGGGGCAAGCGGUAUCCGGAUUUACUGGGUGUAAAGGGGGCGCAGGCGGCAAUGCAAGGCAGGAGGGAAAGCUCGGGGCCCAACCCCGGGAGUGCUCUUGGAACUGCGUGGCUGGAGUGCAGGAGGGGAAGGCGGAAUUCGUGGUGUAGCGGUGAAAUGCGUAGAUAUCAGGAGGAACACCGGUGGCGAAGGCGGCCUGCUGGCCUGCAACUGACGUUGAGGCCCGAAAGCGUGGGGAGCAAACAGGAUUAGAUACCCGGGUAGUC
rnacentral:rRNA from 1 species